rnacentral:rRNA from 1 species
UGGGGCAUUUUGCGCAAUGGGCGAAAGCCUGACGCAGCAACGCCGCGUGAGUGAUGAAGGCCUUCGGGUCGUAAAGCUCUGUCAGAGGGGAAGAACCACCUGUCGGUUAAUAUCCGGCAGGCCUGACGGUACCCUCAAAGGAAGCACCGGCUAACUCCGUUCCCGCAGCCGCGGUAAUACGGAGGGUGCAAGCGUUGUUCGGAAUUAUUGGGCGUAAAGGGCGCGCAGGCGGCUGCUUAAGUCCGAUGUGAAAGCCCCGGGCUCAACCCGGGAAGUGCAUUGGAAACUGGGCAGCUUGAGUACGGGAGAGGGAAGUGGAAUUCCGCAUGUAGGGGUGAAAUCCGUAGAUAUGCGGAGGAACACCGGUGGCGAAGGCGGCUUCCUGGACCGAUACUGACGCUGAGGCGCGAAAGCGUGGGGAGCAA